AGAGUUUGAUCCUGGCUCAGAAUCAACGCUGGCGGCGUGCCUAACACAUGCAAGUCGCACGAGAAAGGGACUUCGGUCCUGAGUACAGUGGCGCACGGGUGAGUAACACGUGAAUUAUCUACCUUCGAGUGGGGAAUAACUGGGAGAAAUCUCAGUUAAUACCGCAUAAUACCUACGGGUCAAAGCAGCAAUGCGCUUGAAGAGGAGUUCGCGGCAGAUUAGUUAGUUGGCGGGGUAAUGGCCCACCAAGACGAUGAUCUGUAUCCGGCCUGAGAGGGCGCACGGACACACUGGAACUGAAACACGGUCCAGACUCCUACGGGAGGCAGCAGUGGGGAAUUUUGCGCAAUGGGGGAAACCCUGACGCAGCAACGCCGCGUGGAGGAUGAAAUCCCUUGGGAUGUAAACUCCUUUCGAUUGGGAAGAUUAUGACGGUACCAAUAGAAGAAGCCCCGGCUAACUUCGUGCCAGCAGCCGCGGUAAUACGAGGGGGGCAAGCGUUGUUCGGAAUUAUUGGGCGUAAAGGGCGCGUAGGCGGUUUGACAAGUCUGAUGUGAAAUCUAUGGGCUCAACCCAUAGUCUGCAUUAGAAACUGUCGGGCUUGAGUAUGGGAGAGGUGAGUGGAAUUUCCGGUGUAGCGGUGAAAUGCGUAGAUAUCGGAAGGAACACCUGUGGCGAAAGCGGCUCACUGGACCAUAACUGACGCUGAGGCGCGAAAGCUAGGGGAGCAAACAGGAUUAGAUACCCUGGUAGUCC
rnacentral:rRNA from 1 species